rnacentral:misc_RNA from 1 species
AUUUGAUGCAAAUUACAUUUAAAAGGAAUUGUUGUGUCAUUAAAUGAGAAAAGCAGUGCAACAUCCAAAAGAUGCUCUACAAAGUCACAAAACAAUGUAGCACAAUGGAACUUGGUCUAUGAAACAAAGAAAACUGUAAACUCUACUACAACAAGGAACCCUCAAGAUAUGUGAUUCUUCCUAUGCAAAAAUUGUGCACGUCUCUCUCUAAGAACGACCCCCUCUGUUAAGAUUAACCAUGCGACCUGAACCAUCCAUCUGGCUUCCCCUGGAAGUUGUACCACUCUGAUAUCUUGAGCCUUGACCCCCAAGAGUCCCUCGUGCCUGAUUAGUACGGUCCCUCGAUGUUUGACCAGAAGUUGAUCUACUACCGGCAUACCCUGUUCGGCCACCACUACUACCUUGCCUGCCUUGUGAGAAGGAGAAGUCCUGCCAUCUACCACCAGCUGCAGCAGCAUAAUCCUGGCCAUCCCUGCGCCUUGGUGGAAGGCCCUCCAAACCUCCACCAAUCCUGGACUCCAUAGCUCUUUCAUUAGUUUCUGAUAGAAUUGCCAGCUUCUCUGUCAACUGGAAUGCCAAGCCCUGCAAUCUUGUAUGCGCAACAUCAUGGAAGACUACACAGCGAGUUGGUUGAUCCCAGUUUGCAUGAAGCUCCUCACUGAUGAUCAUUUUGCUCACAAUGCUAUGAACUUGUUUAUCAGAAAGGUCAAACAUCCCUGCAAGCUGAUCCAAGCUCAGAGAAUUGUAAGUAGAAGAAUAUGUAAAAAGGUAGGUCCUCAAGGCCUCUUCCUUGAUUUUGGCUCUAACCAUCUCAAGAACACUCUCUUUGUUCUUAAAAAGCCUCCACAUAUCAAGGGACUUGAUAACAUCAAAGGCCUUCAGGAAAUCUCCCUGCUUGAGGGCUCUUGUGGCAGCCAUUACAUGGUCCCUAACAUUUUCAGGUGGGCCAGUGAAAGUUUGUCUCUCACUAAUUUCAAGCAAUCUCUGGAAGUUCUUGCUUAUGACCUUGCGCCUUGUGUCAUGACUAUUGGUUGCCAUGUUUGGUACCUCUAGCAGCAUGGCACAUAUCAGAUGGACAGCCUCAAGAAGCUCAAGAUUUAUAUGCAUAUGAUAAGGCAUCUGACGUCUUCGUUCUAUCCUUUCCUGUUCCGGGGUCUUCUCAUGAUAUCUGCUUUGGGAAACACCUUGUGCAAGUAAUUCCUUCACCCUGCCAGCAGAAUAAAGUUCAGAAAGGCAACCCUGUGCUUCUGUAAUGAGUCCCGCCCUGAAUGCACAGAGACCAAGCUGAGCCAUGGCUCUGUUAAAAAGUAUCUGAGUUGAAAUGUCCAUGUGCUGGAUAUUAUCCUGCAAGUGACUCAUUAACAACAAGUCACGGGAUACUGAAAACUCAUCGAAGAGAGCAUGAUUGUAUAUGUCACAGAGCAUAGCACGUGCCUUGGUCCGCUCAUCCCCAUGUUUGUAAAUGAGCGAAACAAGGACGUCCAUCAAUGACCUGCUGUCCUCUUCAAAGGAAGGCUUCCUGGGCACAAGCUCAGGAGUCGGAACAAAUGCUAGUGGGCCUUUACUCUCCUCAGCCACCUUGUUCUCGUCAGCAGACUCCCCCUCUCCUUCUCCUUCUGCUAGUUCAGCUAACUUCCUCAUAGCAUCAUACACCUCUGGUGGUUUAUAAUAAAUGAACUCAACCUGUUUAAGAGCCACUUUCGCAGCAGCCCUAGAGUCCCCCACGCGAACUAAAUAAUCUUGGACAUUUUGAGCAAGAACCAAGAACAAUGGCUCGUCCCUCAGCCUCUCAACAUAUUCACGAGUGUGGGGAUCAAUAACCUGCAAGCUCUUAAAAAAUUCAAUAUCUAUCUUUUCAACAAAGGCUACCAAGUUCC